UACAACUAGUGCAUCGAAUAGU
rnacentral:siRNA from 1 species